UCAACCUACAACAAAAUCAAAAUGUCACUUAAAUUACCACAGAUAAGACGAGAUUUAGUAAGCAUUUAUCACGAUCUCCAUGAUAGGCCAUCAACCAGCAUCAUAUCAUAAAAAUGACAGAAAUUGUACAUUCAGACCAAAAUAAGAGUUAGUUUGGACCAAUUAUAAGCUGAUGAGAAAUCAGGCAUGAAGAUGCAGACAAGUUAUCAAAUCACCUGCUUUUGGAGCAUAUGGAAUUCGUCAGAGCUGAGGGAACCAUCACUGUUUGAGUCAAGAAGCUGCAUCAUCUGUCGGGCAUCUUCUCCCGGUGCACCAAGCUCCUCCAUCACCUCUGUAAGUUCCUCAAUGCUGAUUUUACCAUCUCCAUUCUUGUCAAGAAGGCGAAACACUCUAUCCCUCUGGUCAAUCUCAAUCCCUUUAUGGUUUGUAGUAGGAAAAUCUUUAAGGCGCAGCGCAGCCAAUUCAGCUGCAGCCAGCAUGAUGGUCUUCAGACGUUUUGCCUGAACAUCAACAAAUAAAAACUAAAUGCCAAUUUCCUUCUUUAUGGUCCCUCAAUAAGACAAAAAAAUAAUACAGAUAAGUUCAAUGUCUCCAUGUGUAGUUUAGUCAUUUCUCAUUGGUUUUUAGUAAUGCAAAAAUGACAUUGCUUUUAAUUUUUUGUGUGCAGCUCUAUGACAAACAUUGAUAUUUUCAUUUGUGAAAAAGAAGAAGAUACUAACCUCCUCAGGAUCAGUAAGGCCAGCCUUGUAUAAUGAAUGGGCUGCUGUUCCACCAACAGCUAGCCUGUCCAUUUCGGUUGUCCUUAUCUGUAUUUCCAUCAAUGGUCUGGUCUUACCAUUUUCACUCACAUCAACUGCCAUAUGCAAACUUCUAUAUCCAUUUGCUUUGGGCC